ACUCACUAUCUGCGUCCUUCGCAGCAGGUGCUGUAGUAGAGAUGUGGGCAUUAGGGUGCGGAGAGGAGAACCGCGGGGGUAGCCCCGUGCUUUGCGUUUCCCAGCCCUGACUCCUGCCUCGGGCCGAGUUGAUUCGCAAAAGUGUAAUCAACUAACUAAGGUCCGUUUUAGCUGGCAGACAGCGCAGAAGGCGUGGGGAACGCGUGAAUUGCGACCCCAGCUGGCACCGCCCGGGCAUGGGUGCGAAAGAAAUAGGGCCGCCCUGCCCUGGCCCGUGGACUAGAGACCUCACCUCUGCAUUUCCUCCUUGCUCUUCACCGCUCUCAUCAGAAAAGCUAGGACGCAGGUGUGGCUGCUGGAUUUGGCCUGGCGCUGCUUGUACCCCAAGAUCUGGUUGCCUCAAGACAAGCAAAUCCUCACAUAUACCAGUUUAUAUUGAAUAACGCCUCACCCUCAACCCCACUCCUGUUUAUCCCUGAUUGGUUAAUGAAGGUGCCUUCAGCCAGCAGCUGGGCAGAAGAGAGUUUCAGAUAGACCAGGAGGAUGAAGAAACUGGAGCCAUGAGAAAGGGAUCUGGAGCGAGAUCACAGAAACACACCUGAAGCCCAAAGAACACGACAAUAAGAAUUAGGGUCAUGGAUGGAGGUAUUCAGACUACCUUUGAGGUUAACAGAUUGUUUAACUACUCAGCCAGAGAGGUGCUGCUUGAACUAAAGCUUGGUUUCUCUGUGUGCUUUCCGGAGACUAGCGUAAGAUAAAAGAAAUACGGCUGCUGGGCUAAUUGAACAUUUAUAUUAAAAAUAAUUCACUUUA